GGUAUUUGAAUGACUGUGGAAGGGUACUUUAACACUUCUUUACUUGGGCCUUGUGUAAACAGCAAGCCUGCAGGCACUAAAAGCAUCUUUUUGCCGAUUAUAGCCUUGUUUUUAACCAAGCGUGAAGAUGUCAUUAGAAGUUCGUUCUGCGUUAAGUUUUUACAAUUUGGACCAGCUAAUGUGUUUGUGUGCAUGUUACUCACAGCUAACGUUACUAUAGUUAGCUAGCCAAUGUGCUAUUUAAGUUAGUAGGUAACGUUAAGCAACUAGGAAAUACACGCUGGCAAACGAGCGUAUGCUUUGCCUAAAAUAAAGUUACUUAACCGGCUAAAACAUUUAGCUAGCUAAGGUAACAGUAAUUGCGCAUGGCUAAAUAAUUUGUCAUUAGCUGACGCGUUAGCCUUCGCUUGCUAGCUAACGUGGCAAAAACUGCCGACCUUUAAGUUAAUUAGAUGUAUGUUUUGUGUUCCCUUUUUUGGGGGGGGAGAAUCAUUCAACAUUUAAUGGGGGAAAAGCAAACGUAGCUGGAGCAAGAAGGGCUGUGUUUGGGGAACUGUCCAACUUUCCCAAUGCCAGCAAAGCGGUGCCGUUCAAGAAGACUGUUUGGUUGAGACUUUGGCAGGAACAAUCUAUAAACCAAGACCAGCCAGCAACUGUUUGGCCUCAAGUUCCUCAGCCUGCAAUGUCUAACGUGUCCAUGAAAGAGGCAUUGUGCCAGGCGUUCUCAGUAGCAGACAUUGACGAAGGGGAGUCAGACUUGCCACAACCGUGCUCUGAAUCUAUAUCUGCAGCGCCUUGAGUUAACUUGUGCUUUCUCUAGGCUAACAUGGUGAUGACUCGUUAAAUAUUUUGUACUGGUCUCUAAGUUAAUCUUGAAAUGUCUUAACAGACCCAGCAGUCUGUCUGGCCAUGAGAUCAAUGGACGCCUGCUCUCCUGAUUUGACUGGCUGAUUCAGGUGCACUCCAGGCUCCAGCUAUAGCAGGAGACUAUCUGAUGGUGGCCGUCCUGGAUUGUUUUCUCAAGGUGCAAACUAUUGGCCGCAAGAAGCUCCAGCUGGUUGGUGUGACUGCCAUGUUGGCGUCCAAGUAUGAAGAGAUGUAUUCCCCGGAGACUAGUGAUUUCGUUUACAUCACAGAGAAUGCAUUCACCAAGGCCCAUAUUCGGGAGAUGGAGCAGCUGAUUCUGCAAAGUCUGAACUUUGAGCUUGGGUGGCCUCUACCCCUACACUUCCUCAGGAGAGCCUCCAAGGCUGGCAAUGCUGUUGAGAAGCACAUUAGCCAAGUACCUCAUGGGACUGACCCUCCUUGACUAUGACAUAGUGCACUACCACCCUUCUGAGAUUGCUGCUGCUUGAUGAGCUCAACUGGGUAACGUACGGUUUUGUGGCAAUUAUUGGGAUGGUCCACUCAGUGUAUCAGAAAUAAAUUACAAAACUCAACCUGGUUUGUCUAACUGAUUUGGUGCUAGCAACAUAUGGUCAUUGUUUCCACUCCCUGUGCAGACUCAACACAGGAGCAUUACUCUACCUAUAAUGAGAACCACCUCAAGCCGAUCAUGGAGCACAUCGCCAAAAAUAUUGUCAAUGAAGGGCGAACAAACCUUCAGCACGUACGUGGUGCCAAACUUGAGCGGCAGCUUCCUCUGGGUCCUCUCCUCAAACCUGCGGGCCAGCAGGCUGAUGAACUCGGUCUUAAAGGUGCACUCCAGCAGGCUGUCAUACUCCUGCUCAUGCAGGAUCAGCAGGUCGUCCUGCAUCGUGCUGAGGGACAGGGACAGACCAAUCAGUUGGGACUGGGGAGAAACUUUGUGACAUGCACUGUAAUGUGACAGAUAUGAAUAAAGUUUGAGUUGAAGUUUGAA